rnacentral:lncRNA from 1 species
UACCCUUACCUAUCUAUCCUCUCCCCCUCUUCCUUAUGAUAUCUUCUCUCCUCUCCAAAAUGGCAAAGUUCAAAUUUCAAAAAGUAUUGUUACACGACAAAUUUAUGUCGAAUGUGGUCGGCGCAAGAGGAUGUAUUAGCGUGUUUAACCCAAAAUAAAAGGAAGUGAAUAUAGACUAUUUUGAAAGACGAGCGUCUAACUGUCAGAACAGCUUUUCCAUCAUCCCUCUCCCGUCGCUCCCUCCCUAUGUAUAUAUUGAAUAAAUCAUUGUUGCUGUUUUCUGUUGCUGUUCCUUGUUCUUUCUGUCUUCGUCAACCGGCUUUUGCUUUUACGUUACAAUGAAAGGUAAUGUAUCUAUAUUGUCUGUGUGUCUGUUCAUACCUGUAUGUGGCGCUUAGAAUUUACUGAUUAUCGAAUUCAUAGUAGGACGCGCGUCUAUAAAUCUGUUGGCAUCACAAUUAUUGAUUACAGCAAAAGUAGUAAUAAAUCCAAAUUGAUUAAUUGUUGAGGAAUCAUGCUCACACAAAUACACUAAUACACUAAAAUAAAUACAAACACAAUACUGUAUGAGAUAUAAAAUUAACACCAAAAAUUUAUGUAGAAACCCAACUGGGAAAAACCACAGGACAUCUCAGAAAUUCACUAUGAAAAUAAUAUGGAGAUUACAAACUCUACUAAGCUUCUUGCCUCUCUCACUCUCUUUGCUUUGCUAAGCUUCUUGUUGUUGUGGUGUAUCUUAUCCCUCAAUAUUUAGCUUCCUUUUAUAGCCAACAAUGAGGGGAGAAGAAGUAAAUGAGGAGAAGGUUGAUGAAAUUUUCAAAGGGCCAAGUGCAUGGAAAAAAAUGAAGGCCAAAUUCAAUGGGUGAAGACUUAGACCAACAAUCUCCACCUUGGCUUGCAUUUUUCAAAUACUGUGAACUUCUUUGUGUUUGUGAAUGUAUCCCUCUCCCUGGAUACUGCACCACGAACUCGGCAUUCGACGAAGUGAAUUAAGUCCAAGUAGUGCUUGAACUUUUCUGUUGUAACUGACUUUGUAAGCAUAUCUGCUGCAUUCUCCUUUGUGUGAACUUUGCGAACUGCAAUGUCACCAUUGUUCAACCACUCACGAAUCUUGUGAUACCGAACAUCUAUAUCUUUGGUUCUGGCAUGGAACACCUGGUUCUUUGCUAAAUGAAUAGCACUUUGACUAUCACACUGAAUCUGGAUAUUACCCUGCUUGAAACCUAGUUCUUCAACUAGUCCCUUAAGCCACAAAGCCUCCUUGCUUGCCUCUGUCAAUGCCAUAUACUCAGCCUCUGUUGUUGAUAAUGCUACCGUAGACUGCAACACUGACCUCCAACAUAUACAUCCUCCACAAAAGGUGUAUACAAACCCUGUCGUAGAUCUCCUUGCAUCUAGGUCUCCAGCAUAAUUCGAAUCAACAAACCCUGUAACCUCACUUCUUGCGGUAUCACGAUCAAACAUAAGACCGUAAUUGGUUGUAUCUGCUAGAUAACGAAAAAUCCAUUUUACAGCAUUCCAAUGCUCUUUUCCUGGAUUUGCCAUAUACCUGUUAAUCACACUGUCUGCUUGUGAGAUAUCUGGCCUUGUACAUACCAUGACGUACAUUAGACAAUCCACUGCAUUUGCAUACGGUACUUUGGACAUAUACUCCACCUCAUCCUCUGUCUGUGGGAUCAACUGUGAAGACAACCUGAAAUGUGCUGCCAACGUAGUGCUAACUGGUUUAGCAUUGUUCAUGUUAAACCUCUCCAAGACCUUCUGCACAUAUCCUUUCUGAGUUAGCCACAACUUUCCUGCCUGACGAUUCCUAUGAAUUUCCAUACCUAGGAUCUUCUUAGCUGACCCAAGAUCCUUCAUGUCAAAUUCACUGCUCAACAAAUUCUUCAGCUGAAGAAUAUCUGACUUCCUCUUUGUUGCUAUCAACAUCAUCGACAUAUAACGUCAACAAUACUAGAGAGCCAUCAUCAAGGGAUCUGAAAUACACACAUGGAUUAUACUCCGAACGAGAGUAACCAUGAGCCACCAUGCAAUUGUCAAAUUUCAUGUACCACUGUCUCGGGGACUGCUUCAAACCAUAAAGAGACUUCUUCAAACUGCAAACUAAGCCCUCUUUUCCUGGUUCAAUAAACCCCUCAGGCUGCUUCAUGUAGAUCUUUUCUUCUAAAUCACCAUGGAGAAAAGCUGUUUUCACAUCAAGCUGUUCUAACUCCAUAUCCUGUGAUGCUACAAUAGAUAAGAUUAACCGAAUCGACGUGUGUUUCACAACUGUGAGAAGAUCUCAUUGUAGUCGAUUCUCUCUCUCUGAGAGAAUCCUUUGCCACUAACCUGGCUUUGAAUCUUUCACCUUCUUUAUCAGACUGAGCUUCUUUUUUCUUGAACACCCACUUGCAUCCUAUAGCCUUCGAUCCUUUUGGAAGUUGAACUAACUCCCAUGUCUGGUUCUUCUGUAAAGGCUCCAUCUCUUCUGCCAUCUCCAUCUCUUCUGCCAUCGCUAUCGCCCAUUUAUCAUUAUCCUCGGACUGAAUAGCAUCCUGAUAGCUAGUUGGAUUUUCACUACCAGCAAUUAAGGCAAAGGCAACCAUAUAUUCAAACCCAUAUCUUUGCACUGGUUUGUUGACUCGCCUUUCUCGAUCUCUAACAAGAUUAUAGGACCUCUCUUGGGGAUCUGAAGGAUGAUCAUCUUCAAUUUCUUCAGGAAGCUCCACCUCAACUGGGUGUUUCUGCAACUCACCUGCUACAGAUUCUUCAUUCUCGGACUUGUUCAGCAUGCGUUUCUCAUUUAACACCACAUCUCUGCUGACAACCUUCUUCUUAGAUACCGGAUCCCAUAACCUGUAUCCCUUGACUCCAUCUUUAUAUCCAAGAAAAAUACAUUCUUUUGACCUUGGAUCAAGCUUUGACUGUCGCUCCUCGACUAGCAGAUUAACAUAAGUUGGAUAACCAAAGAUUUUCAUCACAGAAAAAUCAACUGGUUUCCCACUCCAUACCUCUUCAGGGAUUUUGUAAUCAAUUCCAGCUGAAAGAGACCGAUUUAUCAGAUAACACGCUAUAUUGAUUGCCUCAGCCCAGAAACUCUUGGGCAAUCCUGCAUUCAACCUCAUACAUCUGACACGUUCCAAUAGAGUUCUGUUCAUCCUCUCUGCAACCCCAUUUUGCUCUGGAGUUCUUUUGACUGAGAAGUGCCAGGUGAUACCUUUAUCCUGACAGAACUGUAGGAAUGACCUGUCCUUGUAUUCUGUGCCAUUAUCUGAUCUGAAAUACUUCAGCUUCUUUCUGGUCUGGUUCUCUACUUUAGCUUUCCACUGCUUGAAGAUUCUGAAAACCUCGGAUUUUUGCUUCAUAAAAUACACCCACACCUUUCUGGAGUAGUCAUCUAUAAAGCUAACAAAAUAAUGGGCUCCACCCAUUGACGUAUGCUUGAUCAGGCCCCACACAUCCAAAUGUACAUAAUCAAGUACAUUCUUACUGGUAUGUGCUCCUGCCUUGAAGCUGACCCUCCGUUGUUUGCCGUACACGCAAAACUUGCAAAAUUCCAAACUGCACGUUUUGACACCUUUCAGCAACUGCCUUUUGUGAAGUUCUUUCAUUCCACCUUCACUCAAAUGACCAAGUCGCAUGUGCCAUAAUUCUGUGCUAUCACUGUUGGAAUUAUCCUGCAUAGAAAUUGCUGCUUCACCAACAACUGUGUCCUCUAUCAACUUGUAGAGGGUGCCCUUCUUUUGGCCCUUCAUAAUUACCAUCGAACCCUUGGUAAUUUUCAUGACAUCAUCUCUGACUGAGAUACUGCAACCUAUAGAGUCGAGUACUCCAACCGAUAGUAAGCUCUUCUUCAAUUCUGGAAUAUACCUUACAUCACCCAAUGUUCUGACAACCCCGUCAAACAUUUUUGAUUUGAUGGUGUCUAUCCCAGUAACUUUGCAGACUGCAUUGUUACCCAAUAAAACUGUACCACCAUUGCAGGAUGUAAAAGUAUCAAACCAAUCCCUGUGAGGGGACAUAUGAAAAGAACAACCGGAAUCCAUGUACCAAUCUAUAAGACUGCCACUGUCUCUAACAGAUAAGAGAUCACCUUGUGAAGCUUCAUUUUCUGUCACUGUGUACAGUUCUCUGUCGCUGCACACAUCUGCUUGCUCAGCAACAUUAGCAGAAUUUACAAUCUGCUUUCCUUUCUUCUUGUUAUCAUUUUUCAACAAUGGACAUUGAUUUUUGUAGUGGCCCUUCUCGUGACAAUGAUAACACUAACUUGAGAUUUAUCCUUCUUGCCUGUUUUUGCCUGAGACCUUUCUCGUUCAUUGUCGGAAUACUUCUUUUGAUUAGGACCCCUGCCACGUCCAUCUGAAAAAGCAAGAAGAUUUUUGUCGGAAUACUUGAUAUUUGAUCUGUGGUGCUAAACUCAAUCUGAUUGUUGCCACGACCUUUGCUUCAAGUUUUAACCAUUUUUCAUCUGUCAUAGUCGUUGGUUUCUUCCCUUCUAGUGUCUUCGCCAAUCCCUGUUGAGCCAAUACAUCUUUGACUGUACACUGCCAAAUACUGAAAUUGACUUACCGUCAAAUGGUUCAACUUCAUACCUCGCACUUGUGCUUGUCAUCUUCGUAUUUGUGAUUUGCCUAAUUUCUCUUUAAACGGAUCGUACCAGUUGGCUAGGUAAGUGUAAGUCGGGUGGGAGUCUCUCUGUGCUUUUGCAACGGUGACUAAUUAAAUAACCACUUUUCUUAAAGGCGCUGCCUUUUGAACCACUUUUCUAGACACCAACGGCGUGAACCAAAAGCUUUGAUACCAAUUGUUGAGGAAUCAGGCUCACACAAAUACACUAAGAUAAAUACAAACACACUACUGUAUGAGAUAUAAAAUAAUAACACCAGAAAUUUACGUGGAAACCCAACUGGGAAAAACCACGGGAGAGAGAUCUUAGAAAUUCACUAUGAAAAUAAUAUGGAGAUUACAAACUCUAAACUGAUAAAUAAACUAACUGUUUAUUUCUCUCUACACCCUCACUCUCAGAAUGCUCUAACUGAGCUUCUUGCCUCUCUCACUCUCUUUGCUUUGCUAAGUUUCUUGUUGUUGUGGUGUAUCUUAUCCCUCAACAUUUAGCUUCCUUUUAUAGCCAACAAUGAGGGGAGGAGAAGUAAAUGAGGAGAAGGUUGAUGGAAUUUUCAAAGGGCCAAGUGCAUGGAAAAAAAUGAAGGCCAAAUUCAAUGGGUGAAGACUUUGACCAACAUUAAUACAUAUAAUAAUGUUAAAAUCAUGAUUUGAUAGAGAGUGGAUAGAGGGAGAAGUGCUUUGAACUGAUGUCAAUGCAACUUGUUAACAAAUUAAAUCUGUCAUUUCUUAAUAAUUGUUGUAUUUCAGUUUGUGGUUAUUUUGCAGAAUUUUUUUUGUCCCCUCUUAUAUUGCGAUGGGGUUAGUCACCAGUAAGGCUGCAAAUGGGAUUGGAGCUCUUUUUGUAAAUGCCUUUGUAGCUCCAAUAAAAGCUAUUGUUGGUGGAUCUUGCGAGUAAGAAUAUUUUUCCUCCUAACCAUGCUUCACAAAUUACUUACCUUAUUAUUUUUGUUUCUUGAUUUGUAAACUAUGUGAAUCUAUAUAGAGAGAGGGGGCGGAAAUGAUAGGUGUGGUAUCCGGUAUCCCGCACUACAGACGAUAUUGUUUCUUCUCGUUUAAUGACAACUGCGCUGCUUCUUCUUCCUUUCUCACUUCAGCUACCACCACCUCCAACAACAGCAUCACCAUCCCACUUACCGCACCACCAGUCCACCACCAUUAGAUAUUUCUUCUAUAGCAGCAAAGCAAAGAGAGGUGUUUGGAGAAUAUGCAGAGGGAAGUAAAAUGAGGACUGUGCAACAAAAAAAUAGCGCUGGACACUGCAACUCCUGUUUCUUUACAUAAUUAUUGACCUAAAUAAAUAAAUAAAAUCAGAUUUAUCUAAAUGCUAACUAUUUUUAGUUCUGAUAAAUAGGUAUGAGAAAUUAAACUUUGAAGAAUUUAACAUGACUAUGAAAUUAAAUAGAAGGCACACUUAUGCCACCCAAAAACUAACACUACAAGCCUAUACAAAGAUCCUCCCUCCCAAAUAUCAAAAAGUCCACAAAAAGUCGCAAUGUAGUCUAGAAACACCUCAGGAAGCCAAAAAAGAAAAAGUACUCAACUAGAUAUAUGAGGAACUUGAUCACACUGCUCCUUGACCGUUAAGUCUCAAGCAUCUCUCCGACUGAGCCUGGCGUCGCCAAGGAAAUGCCACAAAGCUAUAAGACUGUAGGCCAUAAAAAAGAAGUAAAUGAUCAAAUAGUUGAGUCUCUCUCUAACACAUGUAACACCUAUUCAGAAGGAAGUGACCUCUCUUCUUAAGGUUGAUUCGAGGGAGAAUCAUACCCAAAGUAGCUGUCCUAAGAAAUAUGCAACUUCCCUAAGAUCCCCAACCUUCCAAACACUAAUACAAGGAAAUGCUCUAUCUAUAUUUCCUUGGAUAACUAAGCAAGAUUUCAAUAGUGAAAUUCUCCCAUAAUAAUGGACCUAAAGAACAAAAAAGAAAGUCCCAAUUAUAUUGCACACAAAAUUAGGCACAUAAACUAAAAGAUUAAAAUUAUAAUACUAGAAGAAAGCAUACCCCUUUUUUUGCCAACUCAUCCCCAAUGCUGGAGGUUUGGUUGCCAUGACCAAGUCUCCUCUACCUCGGAAACAUAGGGGGUGUUUGUUUAGAGCUGAAUGAAGCUGAAUCUGAAUGGCUGAAUCGGUAAGAUGUACAAGCUGAAUGGCUAAGUCAGAUUUAUUUAGCUGAAUGACUGAAUGAAGUAAAAAAAAAUUAAAAAAAUUAAAAAAAAUAUUAACUAUUAUAUUAAGUAAUAUUAAAUAAAUUUAUAACAAUUUUGAAUUUUUUUCAGAGGUAAAAUAAUAAAGUUUUGUUAUUCAGAUGUUUCAAACAUGUCAAUUAUUUUUUUCAUUCAGAUUCAGAUUCAACUCAUUCAGAUUCAAAUUCAGCUCAUUCAAAUUCAGAUUCAGAUUCAUUCAAUUUUUAUCAAACACUCCCAUAGUCUACAAUCCCAACCCUUGAGCGCUCUGCAAGAGUUACCUCACUGCACCGCCUAUCUGCGCACGAAAGUGAAUCCUCAUCCCAUUCCCAGCCCUCAAAUAAAUGCGCUUGGGUGUGUAUUUGGUCUGUUUCAACAAUUUUGCUAAAAAUAUGAACCAAAACCAUGGUGUCACUUUGAUCGAUUUAGUUGGUCGGUUUAAACAUAUUAUUGUUCUUCUCUAUUGCUUUCUUCUUUUCUUUGCAGUUGACUGACAAUUGUUGAUGCCAUCGCCUGUGCAGAGAGCUCAGAUGUGUUCUUAACCUUGGUGAGCUUUCCAAAAGCCAUAAGCUUUUUUGAAUAUAAUGAGCAAAAGAUUGUUAAAGUCUUGCCGCAAAUAGUGGCGCUAGUUGUCUGCCUUUAUUGUUCCAUGCAUUUUUCUCUCAAUGAAACAGAUUAGCAGUCCAACACAAUCAAUCUAAUUUCAACUCAUGACGUCCGUAAUUACUUUUUCUCUCCUAAUCCAAUUGGCGGAUGUGGGAACCCAUUUCAAUCCUCUUGAAUCAAGCAAAUAGAGCACUAAGUACUGACCUUCCAACCUAACCUCUUGAGCAGGUGACAACCUACUCAAUCGGUAAACCCUUUUUCUUCUCAACGGCUGAAUCGAUUGCCACUCAAUUUGAAAUCUUUGCAUUUGGUCCUCAUUUCCACUUUAUUUCAUGUAAUUUUUUUCCACACCAGUUUCACUUUUUAAAAUCGUACUAUUUACUUUCAAUUUUCGUCAUGAUCUCCAUCUUCAAUUUCUCUCUCUACAGAUCGUUGAGCGCUUAUUAAUUCACUUGUACAUCAAAAACUAAAAUUAUAUAUAUAUAUAUAUAUAUAUAUAUAUAUAUAUAUAAACAUAAAUAUACAGUUUAAAGAUUAGCCUUCGUUUUCUGAUUUGUCAGAACUACUGUAGAUUCUCCAACAACGAUAACGACAACUUCAAUUUAAGACGCCUUGAAUAAUGGAUAAGUAGAGAAAGGAAUUGGGAAAUAGCAAGUGUUGUUUAAAGAGAAUAUGAUCUGUAAUUAUUUCUUUCAGUGAGUGAAGAAAAUAAAAGUUUUGUAUAAUUUCUCUCUUCUGUUGGACCUAACUUCAUCACUGAGUUAAUCUAAUGAAGGAUUUUUCACAGUUUAUUGA